rnacentral:tRNA from 1 species
UCCCUGGUGGCUCAGACGGUAAAGCGUCUGCCUGCAGUACAGGAGACCUGGGUUUGAUCCCUGGUCGGGAAG